CAAAUUAUUAAAACCACAACGAGAUGCCCCUUCACACAUGCCAGAAUGGUGAUAAUAAAAAAGACAGACAAUAACAGAUGUUAGAAAGGAUGUGGAGAAAUUGGGUCCUUCAUAAACCACUGGUGGAAGUGGAAAAGAGUGCAGCCACCUUGGAAAAGAAUUUGGCAGUUACCACAUGUUAAAUACAGCAUUACCCUAUGGCCCAGCAAAUUCCACUCCUAGGUGUGUACCCAAGAAGAAUGAAGACAUAGGUCUGCACAAUAAUUUGUACAUCCAUGUCCAUAGCAGCAUUAUUCAUAAUAGCCAAAAAGUGGAAACAAAUGCUCACCAGCUGAUGAAUGCAUAGCAAGAUGUGGUAUAUCCAUACAGAUCUAUUAUUGGGUAGUAACAAGAAUGAAGUACUAAUACAUGAUACAACAUGGAUGAACUUCAAAAGUAGAGGAAGCCAUGCACCAAAUGUCAUUCUUGGAAACGUGGGAAAUUUAGGAAAUGACAUUGAAGAGGAAGAAUUCUGUUGAAAUAGUGAUUCUCAACGUGGGGUCCUUGGACAGCAAGGAUGAGGAAAAAACACAGCCAUCCAGAGCCAGAAGUUAUAUGCUGACAAAAUGCCACCAACUACUUUAGUGGAAGCUGUUGUUGGGAUAGGGAAUCUGCACCCUCUAGAGAAGCAGGGACCUCAGCUGCUGAGGAAAGGCUGUCAAGAGUUAUCCAUGUUAUUUUUUUUUCAUUUUUGUGAGUACAGUGCCUCCUAAACAAUCACAUAAGGAUUUGAGACUGUUAGAACUCGGUGUUGUUAUCCACACAAAUGGAAACAUUAUUUUUAAAACAUGUUUGUAAAUACCAGAUGAAGUAAAAAAUUGACAUUAACUGUAUUAUAGAAAUGGGAAAGUAUAUCCUUUUGUAAUAUAAGAUAUAUUAGAAGCAAAGAAGGGAAAUGGGCUUAAAACAAAAAUAAAUGUAAAGAUCAGUUU
rnacentral:sRNA from 1 species